rnacentral:lncRNA from 1 species
AAAAGCUCAGUGGCGAGCCAUCCAUGCAUAUGCGAUCGAGCUAGUGUUUGAUAAAGUCAAUAUCCCUUCCAUCUUUUUAUUAUUGAACAAACAGUUUAUUUAUUUUAUUGAGUGUAUCACACAACCGCUGCUCUAGCUUGGUUGCUCUCAUGGCGGGCAGCAGCACUCGUAUUUGCUGCCCUCAUGCUUGCAGUAGGCCGACUUGGUCUUGUGCUUGGCGGAUAGGCAUUGCAAGGCGCAUGUCGCGGUCGUGCAGUGGUCCGCGUCGUUCUUGAGAGGGUCCACGCACGGUGUCGCAUCUAGCUGCUGAUCGCAGCCACCAAUGCCUACACAUCAUAGUUAAUAAAUAAUAUAUACAGUAACUCGUCAGUCAGUCUUGAGAAGGAGAAUAAUACUGUAGAAAUAAGUAAAGUAGGGUUGGUGAUGGUGCCUACAGCUUCGUCCGGCUUCGUAGCACGGAGAUGUUGAAGACAGGACCACAAAAACCAGGACUAGGACGAUUGUCGUCUUGAACACCGCCAUGAGAAGAAGAGGAUAUAUAGAUCGAAUUCCCUACUGAUGUGUGCGCUGGGGAGGAGUAUGUGUAUUUGUG